CACCCAGAGCCGAGCUACUGGCGAGUAUUCUUGGGUAAAUAUCACUUUAAAGCUGUUAUUGCUUGAGAAUACACGUAAAUAUUUCGGCAAGACCAGC
rnacentral:pre_miRNA from 1 species